rnacentral:rRNA from 1 species
GGAAUAUUGCACAAUGGGGGAAACCCUGAUGCAGCGACGCCGCGUGAGCGAAGAAGUAUCUCGGUAUGUAAAGCUCUAUCAGCAGGGAAGAAAAAUGACGGUACCUGACUAAGAAGCCCCGGCUAACUACGUGCCAGCAGCCGCGGUAAUACGUAGGGGGCAAGCGUUAUCCGGAUUUACUGGGUGUAAAGGGAGCGCAGGCGGCGCGGCAAGUCUGAUGUGAAAGCCCGGGGCUCAACCCCGGGACUGCAUUGGAAACUGUCGCGCUCGAGUGUCGGAGAGGUAAGUGGAAUUCCUAGUGUAGCGGUGAAAUGCGUAGAUAUUAGGAGGAACACCAGUGGCGAAGGCGGCUUUCUGGACGAUGACUGACGUUGAGGCUCGAAAGCGUGGGGAGCAAACA